GACGAACGCUGGCGGCGUGCCUAAUACAUGCAAGUAGAACGCUGAAGGAGGAGCUUGCUUCUCUGGAUGAGUUGCGAGCGGGUGAGUAACGCGUAGGUAACCUGCCUGGUAGCGGGGGAUAACUAUUGGAAACGAUAGCUAAUACCGCAUAAGAGUAGAUGUUGCAUGACAUUUGCUUAAAAGGUGCAAUUGCAUCACUACCAGAUGGACCUGCGUUGUAUUAGCUAGUUGGUGAGGUAACGGCUCACCAAGGCAACGAUACAUAGCCGACCUGAGAGGGUGAUCGGCCACACUGGGACUGAGACACGGCCCAGACUCCUACGGGAGGCAGCAGUAGGGAAUCUUCGGCAAUAGACGGAAGUCUGACCGAGCAACGCCGCGUGAGUGAAGAAGGUUUUCGGAUCGUAAAGCUCUGUUGUAAGAGAAGAACGAGUGUGAGAGUGGAAAGUUCACACUGUGACGGUAUCUUACCAGAAAGGGACGGCUAACUACGUG
rnacentral:rRNA from 1 species